UACGUAGGGGGCAAGCGUUGUCCGGAUUCAUUGGGCGUAAAGGGUGCGUAGGCGGCGCGGUAAGUCGGGUGUGAAAUCUCGGAGCUUAACUCCGAAACUGCAUUCGAUACUGCCGUGCUUGAGGACUGGAGAGGAGACUGGAAUUUACGGUGUAGCAGUGAAAUGCGUAGAUAUCGUAAGGAAGACCAGUGGCGAAGGCGGGUCUCUGGACAGUUCCUGACGCUGAGGCACGAAGGCCAGGGGAGCAAACAGG
rnacentral:rRNA from 1 species